UCUUUCCGAUUUUAUGUGUUAUUUCAUUUGUUCAUGCUCAAAACUAGAAUAAAUCGAUGUUGAAUGUAAAACCACCUUUGGUGAUCUUGGUCACACUGUUUCACUAGAUGUAAUGGUUUUCAAAAACAAGACCGAGUCGGCGUCUGAAACGUUCACCAAAAUAUGCAGAAAUGCUGACAUUAUAAGGUGUCAAAGUAUCAAAGCUCAUCUAAUGGGGGAACAUUGUCAAUUUUGCUUCCAAAUCCGAAAGUUGGCAUUUUGGGUACCAAUCAACUCCGAACAAAAAACAUUGAUGCUCGGUAAACAUGGUGGUGAUGGGUUCGCAAAAGUUCUUAAUCAAAAUGAAAAUUUUAUUUUCUUCCCAAGUAUGCAUGUUUUAUUGCAGUUUCGGUGCUAUAAGUUAUAUAUUUUUGGUCUAUAAUGUAUCAGCCUCCUUGCUGUUUGAGGUCACACUGUAACAGUCAGUGGCAUAUUACUAAAAAAUGAGACCGAGUCGGCAUCUAUUGAGGGUACUAUAUGAAACAGAAUUUAAUUUUCUAUCUGAUGUUAUAAGUUUCAAAACAUGACUAAUGGGGGAACAUUACGAAAUUCGAUGUUAAAAGCUGCUGACCACGAUUAUACACCCACAGCUGCUCACGGUUUCGUGUACUGCAAAUGCUGCUAAUAUAGUUCUGACGCUAGCAGACGCACGUUUUUGCAUUCAAUUGGCUGCCACGGCGUUCCAUGUGAUGAUAGAGAACAUCCCUGGUUUUCGACUUUUGUGUGUUGUGUAUAUUUGUUUAUUAGGCACAUUUCAAUUCAAAUUUGAAUUUGCUUCUCUCACUUCGGUGGGUCUUGGAGUUGUGGAUAUAUUUUGUGGAGCGCGGAGCAUCGGGGAUUUUUGUGGAGUAUUGGAUUGACGUUUUCUUGGUGUUUUUUUUUAAGAUAUUUUCAGAGGCUACAAUGCCACCAGGAAGACCAAGACAAGACAGUGCUCAUGCCCGAAUCAUCGGCAACACAGGAUGGCAAACUUCGCCUCCCCUGGCUUGUAUGAAGCCUUGAUUUCCAUUUAAGGAAGUAAGUCUGUGCCCAAAUGGAUGAUGCACGUGUUGGGCAUUUUUGCAAAACAAAGCAGUUGAAAGGGUUCAUUUGCCGAGGCUGUAUGGAGUACGCCAAGCAAUGUCAUGCUGAUGGGGAGACGUGAGUAUGACAAUGAAACAUACUACAAUUCUUGGCAAAAGGGCUAGCAAAAUGCAUCAUUGAGUUUGACAAUUCUGUACCAGUCAUUGUCAAGCUGGAAAUCUGGGUAACGGUAAUUGGUAAAGCUGGGGUCACCGUCAGCAUAUCAAUAUAGGUAUCAGUCGGGCAAACUGCAGGGAGGUAAUCUAAAAUAAGAUUUAUCUAAUUUAAGAAUAUGAUGUCACCCAAAUGUGCUGAGUGAUGACCAUAUAAGGAAUGAUGAUCAAUAUUUAGACUAUAUUCCCGACAUGUCCACAUUUGAACCCUCCACAACCAUCGAAGAACUGCUCAUAACCACAAUAUUUGUUUUGCUGACUGACAGGCAAACCAUGAUUUAACAAAUUGUGAACUGGCCAGCUCAUUUGAGAUUGGAAUUUGUCACUGGUGACCAAGAUAUUUGGGCAUUAGUAGAGCAGAUGUUACACAGAGGUUUUACAACUGAGGAGAAGUGCUCAUAUGCUUCUUGCUUCCAGAGAUGCUUCUUUUUAACACCAAACCAAACCUUACCUGACAUAAUCUAACCUACAAGUCAGCAUACAAACUAAAACCCUACAACCUACAAACCUACAGCUGUGCCUCUCCUUGGUUGGAAACCCUUCCUAUGAGCAUCCUGCUCUCUUUGCCUAUUUAUCUACUUGGUAAGCAUAAGCGCCUUUAUUUGACAUCUGCUCUACUAGUGCCGUUAAUUUUAAUUUGUAACCUAACCAAACCUAACCUAACCCAAACCCUGCUCAUAACUGUGAUAAGUUGCAGUCCUAACUCCUAACAUCACUUUGAUUCUCCUCAGCCAAUUACAUCAAGAGGGAGACCACACUGACAGGGGUCCAAGAUCCAACUCAGGCCCUACUACUGUCCGCCAGCGGACGGAGGCCCGGCGACGGACGCUGGCUCAGUGGCCAACAGUGGUCCGCCCGCCGGCUGAUGGUGGCUCGCCGACCGACGCCGGCCCGUCGGCUGACCACGGCAUUCCGGCUGAUGGUGGCCCGCCAGCCGACGGAGGUCCGCCGGCCAUUCGUGGCACGCCCGCCGACGGUAGCUCGACACGUCCUGGCUAUGUCACCCCCAAGAUUACUUCGCCCCCCAGUCCCUAGGUCACCAGUUGCGGGCGCUCCAUCUGACGGUGUCGUCCGACGGCUCCACGGUGACCAGCGCCGCCACUGCGGAAACCAUCCGACCCCGAAAAUGCUGCUAGCCGUACACGAACAAAGGGCGCCGGGCACCCAGGACCAGCGCCCUGCUCCGAGGCGGUGUCCAAAGAAGGCUGCACAGUGCACUUGCUGUGCUAAGGCAUAGUGCCCGCUGACUGAUAGGAACAAAUGACGGUCAGUUAUCAGAUUUCAGUAUGGAACUCAAGAUGGUCGGAGCCGACCUGGCUCGGUGGAUGGUGUGCCAGGGUUGAUUAAGUGUCGAAAGGAGUGAGAUGCCCAGAUAUGUGAAGGAUACGUCGAUACGAGCCCCGGCUUCGACUCCCCGUCCCAAAACGAUGUUGGUUGUGAUUGGAGGAUCCCCCACCCCCACCCCACCCACCCCGGAAUUUGUGCUAUGUAAUAGAACGAUAAUAUGUCGUGGUCUCAUUCUGGCUCGAUAUGGUAAUAGGUACUUAAUUGGACAGAUGUUGAUGGUAUUGGUGGUGGAUGUUAAUGGCAGGUUUGGCGAGCGCGAAUUAAUAAUCGUGAGUGCACUAGCUGCAAUCAGUCGCGCGCUUAUUGCUGAGCACCUGUGAGCAAGAAAAUUAUAUGAAUGUGGUAGUUCGUCGUGAAAUCUGUGUACUUUUGGAUUAAGUUGUCAGAACAUAAGUGUAUUUUUGCCGUGUCCACUGCAGCUCUGAAACAGAAACAUGGAGAUCGGCUGUGUGCUGUAGCUGCGGGGGCAAGUAGUCCGCGCGUGCCAAAAAAUCAAAGGUGGUAUGUGAAUUUAAGUGAAUAUACCUCGCUAUAUUUUCAA